UACAGAGGUCUCAAGCGUUGUUCGGAAUCACUGGGCGUAAAGGGUGCGUAGGUGGCGUGGUAAGUCAGAUGUGAAAGCCCGGGGCUCAACCCCGGAAUUGCAUCCGAUACUGCCAUGCUAGAGUACUGAAGAGGUGACUAGAAUUCUCGGUGUAGCAGUGAAAUGCGUAGAUAUCGAGAGGAAUACCAACGGCGAAGGCAGGUCACUGGGCAGUUACUGACACUGAGGCACGAAGGCCAGGGGAGCAAACGGG
rnacentral:rRNA from 1 species